CUGACCGUGGCAGCAACGAAGAGCGGAAUGGUUGCGCACGCGCGUUAUGGUUGUUCAGCGCUAAAACGCAAGACAUAUGACUGCAUUUGCUCCAUCAGCAGAAGGCUCAGCUGGAGGGAGUAUGACGUGUUCUCAACCUGCGUCAGACAGCAGCAGGUGUACCUCAAGAUACCUACACAGCAGCUUGGCCUUCACCUCUGCUGUGAGUUCCUAUCAGGGGAUCAGGACAGAGAGAGGGAACAAAGCAGAGCAGUCUGCUAAAUCAACAGGGGAUUGCUACUGGAGUGGUGACAGGGCGUC